CCUACGGAAGGCUGCAGUGGGGAAUAUUGGACAAUGGGGGGAACCCUGAUCCAGCCAUGCCGCGUGUGUGAAGAAGGCCCUCGGGUUGUAAAGCACUUUCAGUGAGGAAGAACGCCUGGUGGUUAAUACCCAUCAGGAAAGACAUCACUCACAGAAGAAGCACCGGCUAACUCCGUGCCAGCAGCCGCGGUAAUACGGAGGGUGCGAGCGUUAAUCGGAAUUACUGGGCGUAAAGCGCGCGUAGGUGGCUUGAUAAGUCGGUUGUGAAAGCCCCGGGCUCAACCUGGGAACGGCAUCCGGAACUGUCAAGCUAGAGUGCAGGAGAGGAAGGUAGAAUUCCCGGUGUAGCGGUGAAAUGCGUAGAGAUCGGGAGGAAUACCAGUGGCGAAGGCGGCCUUCUGGACUGACACUGACACUGAGGUGCGAAAGCGUGGGUAGCAAACAGGAUUAGAUACCCUGGUAGUC
rnacentral:rRNA from 1 species